CAGGAUGAACGCUAGCUACAGGCUAACACAUGCAAGUCGAGGGGCAGCAUGAUCGAAGCUUGCUUGAUGAUGGCGACCGGCGCACGGGUGAGUAACGCGUAUCCAACCUUCCCUAUAGUAGAGGAUAGCCCGGCGAAAGUCGGAUUAAUACUCUAUGUUUUCCAAUGCAGACAUCUAAAAUGGAACAAAGGUUUACCGCUAUAGGAUGGGGAUGCGUCUGAUUAGGUUGUUGGCGGGGUAACGGCCCACCAAGCCUACGAUCAGUAGGGGUUCUGAGAGGAAGGUCCCCCACAUUGGAACUGAGACACGGUCCAAACUCCUACGGGAGGCAGCAGUGAGGAAUAUUGGUCAAUGGGCGAGAGCCUGAACCAGCCAAGUAGCGUGCAGGAAUGACGGCCCUAUGGGUUGUAAACUGCUUUUAUACAGGGAUAAAGUGCGCCACGUGUGGCGUUUUGUAGGUACUGUAUGAAUAAGGACCGGCUAAUUCCGUGCCAGCAGCAGC
rnacentral:rRNA from 1 species